AUACGAAGGGGGCUAGCGUUAAUCGGAAUUACUGGGCGUAAAGAGUACGUAGGCGGUUGCUUAAGUCAGAUGUGAAAGCCCCGGGCUCAACCUGGGAACUGCAUUUGAAACUGAGUGACUAGAGUUUAAGAGAGGGGAGUAGAAUUCCGGGUGUAGCGGUGAAAUGCGUAGAGAUCCGGAGGAAUACCAGUGGCGAAGGCGGCUCCCUGGCUUAAAACUGACGCUGAGGUACGAAAGCGUGGGUAGCAAACAGGAUUAGAAACCCUAGUAGUCC
rnacentral:rRNA from 1 species